rnacentral:lncRNA from 1 species
CUGUGCUGGAGGUGCGUUUGAGGCCCGUGGUAAAGUCUGUAAAUCAGGUUGUUGUCUGGAUCUGCAGCUGCUCCGGGCCGCAGCCCCGCAGCCUCCGCAGUUUCUCCAAAAUCAAAACCGAAACCAAACCUUCCAGUGUCAGGCACUUCAGCCGCUCGUGAGUCAGUGCGCGCGGAGCCAUGGCGGACUCUUACCCGCACGCGCUGCUCGUGGAGUUCGAGCCGAACCGAGUCCUCAAACUAAAGAACAAACUCACCAAGUACUUCCAGAGCAAGAGGCUGUCGGGCGGAGGAGACUGCACCGUGGAGCUGCGGACAGACGGGCCCGGCGCGGAGCUCCGCUUCCGGGCACAGAGAGACCAGAGGAGCGUCCUGGAGAAAGCGUCCCAUCAGCUGAGUCUGGAGGACGGAGCGCUGAAGCUGACGGUGCGACUGAUGGAGCAGGAAUCCCCCGCUCCGUCUCAGUCGGACUCUGGACCCGCUUCUCUUCAGGUCAGAUCUUCCACACCGUCCCCCAGCAGCAGCUGCAGAGGAGGAGGUGAGGGGGGGAGCCUGCCGACGCCUCUGCCCAGCUCCGGUGCUCCUCCCCCGGGCUCCUCUCCGUCGCUCGUGCCCCGCUCCACGGCCUCCACGGCCCCUCUGUUGCUCCUCGCUCCACGGCCUCGAUCGUGGGGAACCUGGCUGCAGACGUGA